rnacentral:lncRNA from 1 species
CCCAUCAUUUUUUAAAAUUCCAUAUAUUUUGGCUUAACAAGUGGGAGACGUGAGUCACACUUGGAUUUUUAUGCUAAUCUCUACUAUGAUAUCACAGUACAAACCCAGUGCAUAUCUUUGAGCCCCUAUGCGGGGCAGUUUUACAGCACCGAAAGGGUAACAGGAGUCCAAGGAACUUGACUGAACCAAGGCCACGGUCCAUGCAAAGCCCUCCCAUCAAUUUCUGCAAAAAUUGAAAAUUCUAAAGAGGUCUCAAAAUUGCCUGCUGCUCAUUCUCAAGAAGACUGGCUCAAGUCUAGACUGCUGUGUAGAUCCUAAAGAUUCAGUGAUGCAAAUUAAAUAGAGAAAAAUUUUGUUCCCCUGUUCUGUUGGUACUCUCAUCACCUAAGGAAGAGUACCACAGAGCUCGCUCCAAGUUCACCAGGCCUAGAAGCUCAAUCCAUUGCCCCCAGUAUCUAUAAUUAAGCCUUCUUGCCUUUUUACCUUACUUUUUUAUCUACUUUAAAUGUAAACUUUAGAUGAAGUAGUCUAAUAUUUACAUCACAUGUUUAACUCCAAAAAUGCCUUGUCCAAUUUCUUUUUGUUUUUUUUUUUGUUUGUUUGUUUGUUUGUCUUUUGUCUUUUUUGUUGUUGUUGGCUAUACCUGUGGCAUAUGGGGGUUCCCAGGCUAGGGGUUGAAUCAGAGCUGUAGUCACCGGCCUACGCCAGAGCCACAGCAACGGGGGAUCCGAGCCGCGUCUGCAACCUACACCACAGCUCACGGCAACGCCGGAUCGUUAACCCACUGAGCAAGGGCAGGGACCGAACCCGCAACCUCAUGGUUCCUAGGCGGAUUCGUUAACCACUGCGCCACGACGGGAACUCCUUUUUUUUGUUUGUUUGUUUUUUGUUUUUUUGUCUUUUGUCUUUUUGUUGUUGUUGUUGUUGUUGUUGCUCAAUUUCUAUUUUAAAGUAAUGGCCAUAUAAAGACAUAUUUUGGUGAAUUAUAAGCUAUUUUUAGCCAAAAUUUCCAACCAUGUAUGAUUGUUUUUUAUUUAUUUAUUUUUUAUUUUUAUUUUUGUAUUUUUAGGGCUAUACCUGUGGCAUAUGGGGGUUCCCAGGCUAGGGGUCGAAUCAGAGCUGUAGCUGUCAGCCUGCACUGUUUCUGCAACAUACACCACAGCUCACAGCAAAGCAGGAUCGUUUAACCCACUGAGUGAGGUCAGGGAUUGAACCUGCAUCCUCCUGGAUACUAGUCAGAUUCCUUUUCACUGAACCCACACAGGAACUCCUAUUGUUACUUUAAGGGUGGACAAAUAACAUGAUAACAAAAGAUUUUAUACAACAGUAAUUCAAAAGGUAAAUAGUACCUGAUAUCAAUAUGGAGGCUUCAUGGACAAUAAUUUUCAUUAUAUAUUAUGAAUAAAAUGUGUGUAUUUAUCUUCAGAUUUCCAAGGCAGCAUAUAGUUGACAAGUCUUCUACAUAAAAAUCAACGUAUGUAUCCUGACUGGAAUAGUUUAUAUAUUUUAAAUAAGGUUAGGGAGUUCCCAUCGUGGUACAGUGGAAAUGAAUCCAACUAGGAACCAUGAGGUUGCGGGUUUGAUCCCUGGCCUCGCUCAGUGGGUUAAGGAUCUGGUGUUGCCGUGAGCUGUGGUGUAGGUCGCAGACACAGCUUGAAUGCUGCAUUGCUGUGGCUGUGGUAUAGGCCAGCGGCUAUAGCUCCAAUUAGACCCCUAGCCUGGGAACUUCCAUAUGCCACAGGAGCAGCCCUAAAAAGACCAAAAAAACCCCAAAAAUAUUAAAAAAUAAAAACAAAAAAUAGUAAAUAAGGUUAAAUUUUAUUCUUCAUUAUAAUAAAUCAUAAACUAUAUGAUAAUGGGGACUUGAAGGUUAAACAUAGACAUAGUAAAUGUCCAUUUCAGUCUUGCCAUUCUUCUACUCUGAAUUAAUUGAAAAGAAAAAAAAAUGUCUCCUAUCAUUAACUAUAAAUUUUCUCAUGUGAACCAGAUAGCGUAAGUCCUACUUCAUACUUAACCAGUGGAAACUCUAAUGGUGGGUAGAGUGUCUGAACACCAAGGAAGGGGUAACAGUGGGAAGCAAGCAAAAUGAUCCCUAGUAGAAUUUUUGGAUUUUGAUUUCUAGACAUGCUUAAGGGACUGAAAAAGUUGGUGUCAAGGGGAAAACAGUGGAUAUUAUUUUCAUGGUUUAAAAUCUUCAAAAGUUCAAAUCACUUUUUGAAAAGAGUCUGAAUGAAACCCAGGAAAAUAUAUUAUAGUGGUUAGAGUACUGACUUAGAAACAGGAGUUAUUGAAAGGGUACAAAAAAACUUCUUUAAGCACAAAAGGAUUAAAAGUGGGUAACUGUCAUGUUUAUAAAAUAAUUUGAAAGUGGAGAGUACACAAUGAAAUUCACUAAGACUGCACGUGAUUGAAAGUUCUUCCAGAAAAUGGAAAGCCAUGCCAAUAAGAAUAAAUGGAUGAGACUGAUGCUAGACAGAGGAAAAUUGCAUGAAUUGGAUAGCAGUAACAUAAACUAACAGAAAAAAUAGUCCGUUAUUUUCACAAGGCAUAGAUCAAAUGACAGAAAGCAACCAACUGACCCAGGUCAAAGUAUACAAGAUUCUCUGUUGUUAGUAACACAUGUGUCUUACUACACACAGGUGACAUUGCAGAAACUGCUAAUUGUGCCUGGGUAUCCAUUUUAUUCUUCUUUCAAGGUAGAAUUGUUAGAUAUACAUGUGACCACAGAGAUUAAGACUACAUUUUCUACAUUUUACAGUCAACUUUGCUGCUGGAUAUGACCAUGCAAAUAAGUUCUGAGUAUGACUAGAACUGAUGUGUGCAGCUUCUGAAGUGUCAAGCGGUGCCUUAAGAGGGGGAAAGAUGCCUUCUCCUUCCCCUAUCCUGCUUUUCUGGCUCACUCCACAUAUGGCAGUGGUUCAUCUGAUCACUAUAAGGUGGACAGAGUAAGAAGACAGAAGGAGCCUGGGCCAUGACAAAACUCGAUAACAAAGCCACCAACCCAGCUAGGAUUUUUAUUUGAGACAAAACUAAAUCUUGUUUAAUCCACUGUUGGUUUGAGUCCCUUUACAACAGCUGAACUAAUAGAGACAACAACAUAGGACAGGAACUCAGAAGGACACGUUCCCUUGAAGAAGACCAGUUUCAACAACACUACCCUAUCACCCUAUUAGACUAAGUGUCAUAACUCUCACAAAACCUUGUCUUAACCACCUGAAACUCCUGCCAACCCUUCCUAUAGCCAAACUGCUCUGGUGACUGCCUUUGCCCUUCAGGCUCACUGGGCUCAGAUAUGUGGUGGCAAAUAAUACCUUUGCCUUCCAAAUAAUUACAGGUUCCUGAGUGAAACAAGGACUUAAAGGUCAAUUACUGAGCAUAAUCUAUCUCAGCAGGACAGGCCUUACUGGAUAGUAACUGGACAGUCACUUCUGCAUUACCUUACCCUCCUUCCGGACCAUCUCAUGUCCUACCUGAAAUGAUGUUGAUCAAUCUCAAGAAAGAUUCAGCAAAGUUGGAUAAAGACAUCUAAAGGAAUCAGAGAGAAGACAAACAAUCGAAAAUAAUCUAAAAUCAAGACUUCCCAGUAUGAAAAUAUGAAGGGUUAGGAAAGAACUGGGCUGAAUUUAUAAUAUAAUUUCGCUUUUUAAUAUUUUUUAAUGCUUUUUGCUUUAUGCCUUCAGGGUUAAAAAAAAAUUCUUAUUUGUUCUUAGAAAAGCCUUCCUUAUGCCAAGCUUAUGCAAAAGUUCUUCCAUGGUUUCUUCUGGUGCUUUUACUGUUUCGUUUGCAACAUUUAUUAUCUUAUAUCCAUAAGAAAUUUAUCCUGCUAUAAAAAUGAAACAUCAAUUCAGAAAACCCCAACAUCAUUUUUUAACAAUUUACAAUAAGAAUUUCAAAAUAUGGUCGCUCAAAAGAUUUAUUUAGUGCUGGUUUAGCUGCACAUAACUACUGGACAUAAAUACUCUUAAUAGCACAUUCUCCUUAUUUUUUCUGAGAAUUUUUCAUUGAGAUCCAAUACCUCUGUCAAAUAGAUUAUCACUUUCAUAUACUGAUUUAUCUAUUUUUUUCUCUAUUUGUAUCCAUAAUUGCAUUUCUCUGUUAUGGUUUAAUAUAGCUAGGAAAUUGCUGGAAAUUUUUAUUAAUAAUCACUAUUAUUAUUUUAAUUAUUUUUUACUCUUUUUUUUCACAGUUUCAACAUACCCCGCAUUUUUGUGCUUUCCCUUUGCCCUACAUUUUCAACUCUAUUUUCCUCAUCUAUCCUUUUAAAUUUACGCUUUUGCAAAGUAAAAACUGCUAUUUCUUUCUAUCCUUUUAUAUGAGUUCAGUAUUUGAUUGGUGAAUCACAAAACACCAGUGCUUUAAAUACGGCUGGUCUCAUAGUAUAGGCUCUGCAUUAAAUUUUAUUGGGCUAUAAGAUAUAGAUGUUUAUUGAGGUAUAAAAUGCAACUACUAUCAAAUCGGGAUCUGAUAAAUAUGACUAGCUGAAAUCAAUGUGAAAAAAAAGCACCAAGUUGAUGAUUAUGAAAGGUAUUGUCCAUCACAUGAUUCGAGACUCUUUCAUUCUUCAUUUAUAUCUCUAUAUGUAAAUUAUUUCCUCUCUGACCCCAGUGAAUCCUAAAACCACUUUGGGAUUACUUAUUUAAAUAGAAUUUAAAAUUCUGUUUCCAAAGGGCUUGUGAGAAUGGUGAAAUGCAUGAGACAAUUUAAAAACUCAUUCUGUAACCAAAGGGAAGGAAAAACCAAUAAAAGAAGUAAUGAAAAAAAUGUUUUCAAUCACUGGUUCUAUGUAUAUGUAAUUUGAUAUACUCAUUUUUGGUAUGUUUUUCUUAUCUGUAAGUUUAGAUGUAGAUGAUUUUUCAUAAUAAGAGUAAAUCGUAAUGGAAAUUUCUGUGGGUUUUUUUUGGCCAUGCCCAUGACAUGUGGAAGUUCCCAGGCUAGGUAGGGAUUGAACCUGACCACAGCAGUGACAAUGUUGAGUCCUUAAUUGCUGGGCCACCAGGGAACUCCUGAAAGGGCACUUAAGAAACUAAAGUAUGCCAGGAAUUCCAGCAAUUAAAGCUUUAGGGCAGGCAUGGGGAGGUGGGAAUGGAAAAGCAAGUUUUGUUCCUGUUUGAUAGCUAAGAAAAUAUAACUUGUAGUGUGUCCAAUUCUAUCAUGUAAGUCAAUAUUGGAUAAACUACCUUUUUUUCCUCCUCUGCCUCCCUCCAUGAAGGAGCUUUUGAAAGUUUUCUUAUUUUGUCUCCUCCUCAUCUCCCCAAACCUACCAAUCCCCCUUUUCCUCCUAUUCCGCUUUCUCUUUCAGCUUAACUUUCAAUAAUCUCUCUUGCAGCCAGAUUUAAAUGUAAUUUUCACAAAUGACAGACAUUACUUUUAUAUCAGUAAAAUUUUUAAAAAGAAAUUCUGGGAGUUUCUGCUGUGGUGCAGUGGGUUAAGAAUCCGACUGCAACAAGUUGGGUCUCUGUGGAGGCGCAGGUUUGAUCCCCGGCUUGGCGUGGUGGGUUAAAGGAUCCAGUGUUUUCACAGCCGUAGCAUAGGUUGCGGCUACAGCUUGGAUUCUAUCCCUGGCCCAGGAACUUCCAUGUGAUGCAGGUGAGCCAUAAAAAAAGUAAAAUAAAAAUAAAAAAAAA